CUCCAACCUAAGUGUAUGUAAACUUCUGUCUUCAGCUGUAAGUAUUCAGACCCUUUACUCAGUUCUUUGUUGAAGCGCCUUUGGCAGCGAUUACAGCAUAGUCUUCUUGGGUAUGACGCAACAAGCUAGGCACACCUGUAUUUGGGGAGUUUCUCCCAUUCUUCUCUGCAAAUCCUCUCAAACUCUGUCAGGUUGGAAGGGGAGCGUUUCUGCACAGCUAUUUUCAGGUCUCUCCAGAGAUGAUUGAUAGGGUUCAAUUCCGGGCUCUGGCUGGGCCGCUCAAGGACAUUGAGACUUAUCCCGAAGUCACUCCUGCGUUGUCUUGGCUGUGUGCUUUAGGGUCGUUGUCCUGUUGGAAGGUGAACCUUCGCCCCGGUCUGAGAUCUCUGGAGCAAGUUUUCAUCAAUGAUCUCUCUGUCCUUUGCUCGGUUCUUCUUUCCCUCAAUCCUGACUAGACUUUCAGUCCCUUCUGCUGAAAAACAGGUGUGUGCCUUUCCAAAUCAUGUCCAGUCAAUUGAAUUUACACCGGGUGGACUCCUAUCAAGUUGUAGAUCCAUCUCAAGGUUGAUCAAUGGAAACAGGAUGCACCCAAGCUCAAUUUAGAGUCUCAGCAAAGGGUCUGAAUACUUAUUUAAUUAAGAUAUAUAUUUUUUUUUUUUUGCCAACAAAAAAAUUGCCAGCGUGUCUAAAAACCUGUUUCAGCUUUGUGUCGUUGUGGGGUACUGUGUCGUUGUGGGGUACUGUGUCGUUGUGGGGUACAGUGUCGUUGUGGGGUACUGUGUCGUUGUGGGGUACAGUGUCGUUGUGGGGUACAGUGUCGUUGUGGGGUACAGUUGCGUUGUGGGGUAUAGUGUCGUUGUGGGGUAUAGUGUCGUUGUGGGGUA
ensembl:lncRNA